CAUUUUCAAAGAUCACCGCUUCCAAGUUCAAGAACGGUCCAUUUCUGUGAGCAGGAAAUCAAGCAAAGGCAGCAGGAGGUCUGCAUGAAUGACCAAGAUGCUCCUGACUAAAUUCAACCAUAGAGGAAACACAUGCAGGACAUGGAAGCAGAGUCAGUUGACCCAGGAGGAAAAUAGAGGCACUGUCCAAGCUUGCAGGGAUGGAGUUAGGAAAGCCAAAGCCCACCAGAGUUGAAUCUGAUGAAUGACAUGGAGGCUACCAGAAGGGUUUUUACAAGUACACCAGCACAGAAGGAAAGCAAGAGAAAACAUGGGCCCACUGCUGAAUACAGCCAGGGCCCUGGUGACAAAGGACAUGGAAAAGCCUGCUGCCCUCGGUAACAUUCUUUACCUCAGUCUUCACAGGUAAGACCAUCCUUUGGGAAUUCCAGGUCCUUGAGACCCCUGGGAAAGUCUGAAGCAAGGUAGACUCAACCUUUGUGGAAGAGGACCAGGUUAGGGAGCAUUUAAACAAAUUGGAUGUGCAGAAGUCCAUGGGACCUGACAGGCUGUACCCAUGAGUGCCAAGGGACCAGAUGAUGUCAUUGCAAGGCCACUAUUAUCUUUGAAAGAUCAUGGUGAUCAGGAGAGGUUCCUGAGAACUGGAGGAGAGUAAAUGUCACUUCUUUCUUCAAGAAGGAGGAUCCAGGAGACCACAGGCUAGUUAGCCUCACCACGAUCCAUGGGAAGAUAAAUGGAGAAAAAGUCCAGGAUGCCGGUAAGAACACAAUAAAAAAAAUCUGGUAGCAUAAGGAUGAGCUGAGACCAACUCUCAUUUGCACUCCAGUGUUCAUCUUUGGACAACACAAAAGAGACUCAGGAACAGAGCCCAAGUAUGCCUCUCUCAUCAUUUCCUGGGAAGCUUCUCUGGCAUCAGACUCUUUAUAAGCAGAAACAGGAAUUUUCUGUCUCUCAGAAUGCCGAGGGCUGAGGAUAAGCAGUUAAUCAAAAAGUCAUGCAGAAACUUCAGUAAAAAAUAAGGCUCCAGCUGUUGACUUGAUCUCUUGGACCAUCUUUCACAGGAUGACUCUUCAUCUAAGCUUCAAAGAUUGUGAACUACAUCAUUACCAGCCAGGACAAGAGGAAGCUUUCUGCCACACUGCAUGUCCAGUAGAAGGAACAGUUGCUGGUUCUUGUUGGGGAGAGGGUCAACCACUGCAGAUAAAAAUGGACUACUGUCUGUGCAGCCUCCAC